rnacentral:rRNA from 1 species
CUUUUUCCCUCCUCUUUUUUCUCCUCUUUUUGUUUUCCGUGUUGCUGUUUUUUCAUUUGUGUUGCGUCUCGCUUCAUCGCCUCUCCUCUUUGCUUUGACUUUUCGUGUCUUCAUCACGUUCGUCCUCUUGCCUCUCCUUUUGUUUGUUUUAUUUCGGUUUUACUUGGGAAAGGUAAAGUCGUAACAAGGUUUCCGUAGGUGAACCUGCGGAAGGAUCAUUAC